GGGAUACAGCAGCGCAACGUGAGCUUAACGGAGCGGAGGAGUGGGGGUGAACACGUUAAUGUGGGCGGUGCCAUUGCUCUCGUUGGCGGUAAAUUCCCCUUGACGCCAUUGUUACCGGUUUCUGUGCGACGGCGUGAAUAUACCCUCUAUCCCUUUCCCUAUUCUACUGACUACGUGUUAUACACAAAACCCGACGAUUCGGCGAGAAAACUGAGUUUUAACCCUGUGAUACUCGUGAACUAUUCGCAACCCGACGCCCGAUAACUUGUGAUUGUUUUUAUCUAAAUUUUUGAGUUGACGUGACAAUUUUAGAAAUUACCAUUAAUUAUUUUGUUUGGGUGAUUCGAUGAGGUCUAGGGAAAAAGCUGUCUAGAACUGCAGUGAGAGAAUUUUGUUGUUUCACUGGCUAUUUAGGAGGACUUGUGUACAGUCAGUCUUCUGGUGGUAUGUUAAUAGCGGAAGAACAUGUGCAAGGAGAGAAUGGAAAAUGCAAAGUGGUAGCCAGGAAAAAAUUCCAGUGCUGAAACUAGAUAUUUCAUCGGCUUAAAUAUGAAUUUUUCCCCGAUUUCUGUGAAAAUUGCCUCGAAAUCCCCAAAAAGUUUGAUAAAUUCUCCCCGAAUUUUACUAGAUUUUCUCACAACUGAGACACACAUGCAUAUAUUUCAAAUGAAAAGACGCGUUAUUGUUUUCACAAAUUUGUAUUGUUAUUUCAUUCAAAGAUUCACGGCGCAGUGAAAAUAAUUAAAUCUCGAUGAGAGAUAUCCGUACACAUUUAUAAACUUUGAAAAUCCACAAACCCGACAUCUCGGUGUAAUCAGACACCGGAGUUAAAAGGGAAUGAAAAAAAAAAUGGAGGGGAAAAGAGAAAAAAAAGAGAAGCCGUGUAAUUGAAAACAUCCGAGAAGAUCGGCGUGUCCUGUGAUCCGUCUACGGCCGCACGCGCGGCGCCUUUCAAUCUUAAUAGACGUUUGAUUCUGCACGUCGUUUAACCUGAUUUUUUAAAUGUUUUUUUAAUUUCCGCAAUGCGAAAAAAUAUGGUAAUGUGAUACAGGACACCGCUCUAUUAUGUGACCUGAAUAAAUUGACAAAUUCUACCAUUUUUAUAAACAAUGAAAAUACUGCUCUUGUAUUGGAUAUAAUAUUGUCCUUUUUUCAAAUAAAUUAAUAAUACAAUAAUUA